rnacentral:tRNA from 1 species
GCGCUCGUAGCUCAGCUGGAUAGAGCACUGGGCUUCGAACCCAGGUGUCGGGGGUUCGAAUCCUCCCGGGCGCACCA